rnacentral:rRNA from 1 species
GAUGAACGCUGGCGGCGUGCCUAAUACAUGCCAGUCGAGCGAACGGACGAGAAGCUUGCUUCUCUGAUGUUAGCGGCGGACGGGUGAGUAACACGUGGAUAACCUACCUAUAAGACUGGGAUAACUUCUGGAAACCGGAGCUAAUACCGGAUAAUAUUUUGAACCGCAUGGUUCAAAAGUGAAAGACGGUCUUGCUGUCACUUAUAGAUGGAUCCGCGCUGCAUUAGCUAGUUGGUAAGGUAACGGCUUACCAAGGCAACGAUGCAUAGCCGACCUGAGAGGGUGAUCGGCCACACUGGAACUGAGACACGGUCCAGACUCCUACGGGAGGCAGCAGUAGGGAAUCUUCCGCAAUGGGCGAAAGCCUGACGGAGCAACGCCGCGUGAGUGAUGAAGGUCUUCGGAUCGUAAAACUCUGUUAUUAGGGAAGAACAUAUGUGUAAGUAACUGUGCACAUCUUGACGGUACCUAAUCAGAAAGCCACGGCUAACUACGUG